rnacentral:lncRNA from 1 species
AACCCCAUUUUUAGGGGAAAAACGAUCUGAAAUCUAAAAUUACCAGUACGUUGUUAGAAAAGAAAGUGAAACACCAGACAAACAGCAAAUGUUGAUCAAUGGAAUUAAAAUGCAGAGUGCAAAGAGAAUGAGCAAUCGAAAAGAUCAAUUUGAUCCAAAAUUAAAACCCCAUUUGGUUGAUUAAGAAAAUAACGAAGACGAAAAUCAAAUCAGAUCUAAAGAAUAUCAGUUCACCUUACGGAAAAUUUGCAAAGUGACCAUACCUGAAUAAUUGGGAGCACAGGGGAAGCUAAAUCUCGCCGGAUGUCAAAGAAAAAUUCUAUCAACCUCUUCUUAUACAUUUUAGCUCUUGUUUCAUCUGCAGAAUCACUUUCACCUUGAUACCACGGAAUUGCUCGAAUUUUUCCUCCAUCUCAUAGUGCUGCAUUAGCUUUCUUCAAGAGCCGAUUAUAAAGAUCAGAGCCUUGUUUCCACUCGGUUAUAUUGGUUCCACCCGAAGCACAGGGGAGCAAACCGAUCACCCCGAGGCAAGGAUCUCUUUCCAGCACUGAAUUUACAAAUGACAUUCCCGGUCCCAUCCCUCAAGUUUUAGUUGUGUCGAUGCCUCUAUGUAGAGAUUCUUGUGCUUCCUCCCACAUCGGCUUUCUGUUAAGUCUAAGAAUCUGGCAUUCAUGAGGGACGCAACCAUCCAAAGUCCCAUUUGUCACACUACCUCGGCCAGCCAUGUUGCUCUGGCUGACGAGUAUGAAGAUAUUCUUUUCAUCGAUUGCACAUACUAGAAAUUCAAAAGUAUGGAACUGAAAGGCAACCAAGAACAUGAAAAUCAUUGAAGGAAACAUCUCUUUUAAAUUUUUUCUCUAACAAACUGAAAAUUUGAUUUUGUUUUCUAUCCUUGGCUGCAUUUCAGUUCCAAACUUCUGAAUUUCUAGUAUGUGCAACUGAUGAAAAGAGUAUCUUCAUACUCACCGGCCAGAGCAACAUGG